rnacentral:pre_miRNA from 1 species
AUGUGUGUGUUUCUAUGACAUGCACAUGUAUGUGCACACUCAAAUGCACGUGCACACACACACAUAAGUAAACACAA